rnacentral:rRNA from 1 species
AUGUUAUCACGGGAGACACACGGCGGGUGCUAACGUCCGUCGUGAAGAGGGAAACAACCCAGACCGCCAGCUAAGGUCCCAAAGUCAUGGUUAAGUGGGAAACGAUGUGGGAAGGCCCAGACAGCCAGGAUGUUGGCUUAGAAGCAGCCAUCAUUUAAAGAAAGCGUAAUAGCUCACUGGUCGAGUCGGCCUGCGCGGAAGAUGUAACGGGGCUAAACCAUGCACCGAAGCUGCGGCAGCGACGCUGAUGCGUUGUUGGGUAGGGGAGCGUUCUGUAAGCCUGCGAAGGUGACCUGUGAGGGUUGCUGGAGGUAUCAGAAGUGCGAAUGCUGACAUAAGUAACGAUAAAGCGGGUGAAAAGCCCGCUCGCCGGAAGACCAAGGGUUCCUGUCCAACGUUAAUCGGGGCAGGGUGAGUCGACCCCUAAGGCGAGGCCGAAAGGCGUAGUCGAUGGGAAACGGGUUAAUAUUCCCGUACUUGGUGUUACUGCGAAGGGGGGACGGAGAAGGCUAUGUUGGCCGGGCGACGGUUGUCCCGGUUUAAGCGUGUAGGUGUGUGUUCCAGGUAAAUCCGGUUCACUUUAACACUGAGGCGUGACGACGAGGCACUACGGUGCUGAAGCAACAAAUGCCCUGCUUCCAGGAAAAGCCUCUAAGCAUCAGGUAACAUCAAAUCGUACCCCAAACCGACACAGGUGGUCAGGUAGAGAAUACCAAGGCGCUUGAGAGAACUCGGGUGAAGGAACUAGGCAAAAUGGUGCCGUAACUUCGGGAGAAGGCACGCUGACACGUAGGUGAAGUGAUUUACUCAUGGAGCUGAAGUCAGUCGAAGAUACCAGCUGGCUGCAACUGUUUAUUAAAAACACAGCACUGUGCAAACACGAAAGUGGACGUAUACGGUGUGACGCCUGCCCGGUGCCGGAAGGUUAAUUGAUGGGGUCAGCGCAAGCGAAGCUCCUGAUCGAAGCCCCGGUAAACGGCGGCCGUAACUAUAACGGUCCUAAGGUAGCGAAAUUCCUUGUCGGGUAAGUUCCGACCUGCACGAAUGGCGUAAUGAUGGCC